AUUUUUGUACAAGGAAGCACAGUGGAUCCCAUUAUCCUCAGCUUGGGAGCAGCAGUGGCUGUGUGUGUGAUUGUCAUUUUUAUUCUUUCUUGUACCAAAAACAAGAGACAAACAUGUGAUCAUUGUAAAGCAAGUGUCUCUCAGCAUAUUCACCAUGAUGAUAACCUCUCAUCAGAGCAGUCAAGUGGUCAGGUGCCAAACACAGAUUUGUUAAAUUAUGCUGCAUUGCAUUUCUCUAAGAGGAAAACUAAAAGAGGAAGAAAGAAGAGAGACACCACAGGAGAGUGUGUACUCUGAUGUCAGAUACUCAGACUGGGAUUGAACUGUUUCAGAUACAGCAUAGACUAAAUGAUCUCAGUCAAGCGUCUCCAUUUAGACAAAAUGUAAGAGUUUUGGUUAAGAAAAUCUCAGGACAUUGCUCUUGUAUGAAAUUUUACAAAUAUAAGAUACAAUUUCCCAAUACAAUACCAUACACAAUGGAAUUACAACCAUUUUUUCUGCUCAAAUAGUGUUCCACUUACUCUGAGCUAGCUGAUGUCAACUGGUAGCAGGAGGGACUUCAUCUUUAAAUAUCUAUGUAUAUGUUGGUAACAUUAAGCAAAAGGUUGAAUGGAACCUUAUCGUAUGGGGUUUAUAUGUGCUAAAUCAUUUUUGUUCCUUCAUUAACACGCAUCAAAUUAUAACUAUAAAUGAAUGUCGUGGUAUUAUCAUUAGAAUUGUAUAUCACUGAAUAUUUCUAGAAUAGUGUCUUUUGUUUGUUAUUCAUUUGACAAGAGGUCAAAUUCUUACUGUCCGUCAUCGUCAAUUUGUUGAUUAAACCAUUUUAUUCAUGAUUCAAGUCAUAAGAAGCAUUUUAAUACUAUUUUGUAAAUUCCUCUUUUUGUAUAAUAUCUCUAAGGUAAUCAUUUAACUUUAUGAAGUCACUUUACAUUGGAGAUUAUGCUAAGAUCUUACUGAGGAGAGGCAAACUAGGAUGGGUGGGUUACUCCUCAAAGAGGUUGACCUAGUAAACCAUGCAAAAGGCAUUAUGGUCAAACAGAGAUAUAUGACAUAAGUAUGGUAUCAAUUAGUAAGCCAAAAGCAUUCAGACAACAGAUUACAGUAAGAGAAGCAUUAUAGAACUAUCGUCCCAGAUACAUAUCACCAG